GCGCACUUCCACACCAGCCCGUGUAGUGUGACGCUGGGCCCCGUCCCUAUGACCGGGCCAGGCUCGGAGCUGCAGGGAAUCCGGACUUUCGGGCUCUCUGGAAGGCCGGGGAGAGGCCAGUGUGGGAGGACCUGGUGGGGAGGAGGCCGUGUUACAAACCCUGCGCGGAGCUGCACCGCUGCUGCCAGACACUGCGACGCCGCGACCUUUUCUACUCCGGACUACGUUUCCCAGCGGACCCCGCGGGAGUUGGGCCGGCGGCCCCUUUGUGUCCUCCGGGGGCGGAGGCAGCUGAGGCGCUUCUUUCCGGGCCCGUAGGGGCUGGGUUCCAUCCAACUAAGGGUAGCGGUGAGACCCGAGUGCAGAUUCCCCAAGCCUUCGGGGCAGGAAGGGGAUCUUCCACCAGUUCUGUUCUGCAGGUCGGGAGUGGGCUGAGGAGUGGCGUGUGGGUCUCCGGAAGCUCGUCCCAGGCCAUCUGUGUGACUCCGGUGCGAGUGGAGGUCUCCAUUAUGCUCUCUCUAUUGGAGGGAAGGUUGCAAGAGGAGGAAAGAGAAUCCUAAA
rnacentral:sRNA from 1 species